rnacentral:rRNA from 1 species
UCCUGGCUUAGGAUGAACGCUAGCUACAGGCUUAACACAUGCAAGUCGAGGGGCAGCAUUGGGAUAGCUUGCUAUUCAGAUGGCGACCGGCGCACGGGUGAGUAACGCGUAUCCAACCUUCCUGCCAGUAGGGAACAGCCCGGCGAAAGUCGGAUUAAUGCCCUAUGUUCUUCAAUGCGGACAUCUAAGUUGAAGGAAAGAUUCAUCGCUGGCAGAUGGGGAUGCGUCCGAUUAGCUUGCCGGCGGGGUAACGGCCCACCGGGGCGACGAUCGGUAGGGGUUCUGAGAGGAAGGUCCCCCACACUGGUACUGAGACACGGACCAGACUCCUACGGGAGGCAGCAGUGAGGAAUAUUGGUCAAUGGGCGUAAGCCUGAACCAGCCAAGUAGCGUGCAAGGAUGACGGCCCUACGGGUUGUAAACUGCUUUUAUGCGGGGAUAAAGUGCGGCACGUGUGCCGCUUUGCAGGUACCGCAUGAAUAAGGACCGGCUAAUUCCGUGCCAGCCGCGGC